AUGUGUCUUGUUGAGGUUGAGAAGUCUCCGAAACCUGUUGCUUCGUGUGCAAUGCCUGCACUUCCAGUUGGGUGAAGAUGAUGAUGGUGAUGAAGAUGACUUGGUCUGCUGAUGAAGAUGAUGGAAGUAAAAGUAAACAAAAAUUAUAAAGAGAGUUAAUAAGCAAGGGUAUUUUGGUCAUUUGACAUGGACUUAACUGAGAAAUUUAAGUGAUGUUAGGGCUGGGGACCAACCGAGUGCAUUUUUGACAAGUUUUGGGAC
rnacentral:lncRNA from 1 species